GAGAGCGUUCUAUGUGCGAAGAAGGUGUACCGUGAGGAGUGCUGGAGCGCAUAGAAGUGAGAAUGCCGGUAUGAGUAGCGAAAGACAGGUGAGAAUCCUGUCCACCGUAAGACUAAGGUUUCCAGGGGAAGGCUCGUCCGCCCUGGGUUAGUCGGGACCUAAGGAGAGACCGAAAGGUGUAUCCGAUGGACAACAGGUUGAUAUUCCUGUACUAGAGUAUAUAGUGAUGGAGGGACGCAGUAGGCUAACUAAACCAGACGAUUGGAAGUGUCUGGCCAAGCAGUGAGGUGUGAUAUGAGUCAAAUGCUUAUAUCUUUAACAUUGAGCUGUGAUGGGGAGCGAAGUUUAGUAGCGAAGUUAGUGAUGUCACACUGCCGAGAAAAGCUUCUAGCGUUAAUUAUACUCUACCCGUACCGCAAACCGACACAGGUAGUCGAGGCGAGUAGCCUCAGGUGAGCGAGAGAACUCUCGUUAAGGAACUCGGCAAAAUGGCCCCGUAACUUCGGGAGAAGGGGCGCUGACUGAUGGUCAGCCGCAGUGAAUAGGCCCAAGCAACUGUUUAUCAAAAACACAGCUCUCUGCUAAAUCGUAAGAUGAUGUAUAGGGGGUGACGCCUGCCCGGUGCUGGAAGGUUAAGAGGAGUGCUUAGCGUAAGCGAAGGCAUGAAUUGAAGCCCCAGUAAACGGCGGCCGUAACUAUAACGGUCCUAAGG
rnacentral:rRNA from 1 species